rnacentral:rRNA from 1 species
GGAGUCUGGGCCGUAUCUCAGUCCCAAUGUGGCCAAUCACCCUCUCAGGCCGGCUACCGAUCGUCGCCUUGGUGGGCCGUUGCCCCGCCAACUAGCUAAUCGGACGCAAGCUCAUCCCCUGUCGAUAAAUCUUUUGUCAACGCCCCAUGAGGAGCGCCACGAUAUCCGGUAUUACCCGCGCGUUGGCACGGCUAUUCCCGAACAGGGGGCAGAUUGCUUACGCGUUACUCACCCGUUCGCCGCUAUGCAUUGCUGCACCGCUCGACUUGCAUGUAUUAAGCCUGUAGCUAGCGUUCAUC